UCUCGAUUGGUCUAGUGGUAAGGAUACCUGCUUGUCAUCAUUAGAAAUCCGCAGGUGGCCGGGGUUCGAUUCCCCGAUCGAGAG